UACGAAGGGGGCUAGCGUUGUUCGGAUUUACUGGGCGUAAAGCGCACGUAGGCGGCUUGUUAAGUCAGGGGUGAAAUCCUGGAGCUCAACUCCAGAACUGCCUUUGAUACUGGCAAUCUAGAGUCCGGAAGAGGUGAGUGGAACUCCUAGUGUAGAGGUGGAAUUCGUAGAUAUUAGGAAGAACACCAGUGGCGAAGGCGGCUCACUGGUCCGGUACUGACGCUGAGGUGCGAAAGCGUGGGGAGCGAUCCGG
rnacentral:rRNA from 1 species